rnacentral:rRNA from 1 species
GAUGAACGCUAGCGGCAGGCUUAAUACAUGCAAGUUGAGGGGCAGCAUGAUAUACGCGAGUAUAUUGAUGGCGACCGGCGGACGGGUGAGUAAUAGGUAGGAGACCUACCUCAUACAGGGGGAUAGCAUAGAGAAAUCUGUGGUAAUACCCCAUGAGGUUAUAUGAAUAGAGGCAUAUAAUCAAAGCAUAAGCGAUUAUGCGGUAUGAGAGGGGCCUACUGACCAUUAGCUAGUUGGUGAGGUAAGGGCUCACCAAGGCGAAGAUGGUUAGGGGUUUUGAGAGAGAGAUCCCCCACAUUGGAACUGAGAUACGGUCCAGACUCCUACGGGAGGCAGCAGUAGGGAAUAUUGGGCAAUGGGCGGAAGCCUGACCCAGCCAUGCCGCGUGAAGGAAGAAGUCCUCGGAUGCAAACUUCUGAACUAGCCGAAUAAAAGGCCUGUGGACACACAGGAGAAGAAAGUAGGACUAGGAAAAGUACCCGGCUAA